AUUGAACGCUGGCGGCAUGCCUUACACAUACAAGUCGAACGGUAACAGGUCUUUGGAUGCUGACGAGUGGCGAACGGGUGAGUAAUACAUCGGAACGUGCCUAGUAGUGGGGGAUAACUACUCGAAAGAGUGGCUAAUACCGCAUGAGAUCUACGGAUGAAAGCAGGGGAUCGCAAGACCUUGUGCUACUAGAGCGGCCGAUGGCAGAUUAGGUAGUUGGUGAGAUAAAAGCUUACCAAGCCGACGAUCUGUAGCUGGUCUGAGAGGACGAUCAGCCACACUGGGACUGAGACACGGCCCAGACUCCUACGGGAGGCAGCAGUGGGGAAUUUUGGACAAUGGGCGCAAGCCUGAUCCAGCAAUGCCGCGUGCAGGAUGAAGGCCUUCGGGUUGUAAACUGCUUUUGUACGGAACGAAAAGCCCUGGGUUAAUACCCUGGGGUCAUGACGGUACCGUAAGAAUAAGCACCGGCUAACUACGUGCCAGCAGCCGCCGUAA
rnacentral:rRNA from 1 species